GGGGGUGACAUUGGCUUCGACGGGGUUAUUAGUUCUUUGAACUGCGCACCGUGUUCUCCGUAGACACGUUAAACGACGGUCAACGAUUUAAAUGGCGAAUCUAAUUACGCUUUAGCUGCGUAACUAACAGUUUGCAGCCGUUCUUUAAGUCCCCGCAUGUCGGGAUUUAUAUGAACGCCGCUUGACAUGCUAGCCAAACCGAAUACUCGAAUAGGUGAGGCGAAACUUUUUUCGAGUUAGCUUUAGCAAUGCCUGUCUGAUGGCUCUGUUAAAGUGAAAUUUAAUAGUUAGACUAUGUGUGUAGACGUUCCUAGAAAUGUAGCUUCGGACGUGGGUUCGACUCCCGCCACCUCCACUC
rnacentral:tmRNA from 1 species